rnacentral:lncRNA from 1 species
UUGGAAAAGACAGCCUGUGGAGACUGCGAUUGGAGACUGCAACACGCUUAGGUUAUUGCCAAUUUGAAAUACUUGGUUUGUGAAGCACAGCCCUAAGGGACAAGCGCAGUAACUGAGAGAGAGAUCGUAGAUAAAGAAAUAAAAAUGACAAGCAUAAUGGAGGCUCUGCAAGAAACUGUCAGGGAAUCAGUUCAUGGAUGGCAAUUUCACCAGUCUGAAUCUGAAUAAUUCAUAGAUUGAAAUUACCCUGCUUUCACCUUUCCAUUUAAACUGGCAUGAUCUGAAUCUCUAAUAAAUUUUCAAGAUAAAGUAAAAUGCCAAUUUGAAUCUGAAGAGCUUUUAAAACCAAAUGCUACACCCUGAGUCUUUCGAUACCUUUCACAAUUAUCCUGUGAGAGCCGCACUUCAUCACGAAGCACCAUUACCAGUGAAAAUUACGGUGAUUACAAUAGCAACAAUAGAAUACCGUCAAAUGAUCUCCAAUUUACCUAAUUUACCAAGGUUGACUGUGUGCCCAUUGUGCUUCACUACGUCUGGCAUUGGAUCAAUAUCACAGAGGAAGAAAAAUGCCUUAGUAUAUGCUUCCUUUUGGUGCCUUUAACUUUGACAGCACAGGAAAAUCUAUCUCCUGUUAAAUGUUUUUACAGCCCAUCUGCAUGCCUGCCAUAGGAUCUGAUUGAUUCUCCAUCAUUUUCUUUGGUUGCUGAGUAUUGGAUGUUAUUGUGUUACUAAUUUGUUUAUAACGUGUACUCCUGCACAAAGACUGCAGCAAACGAGUAACAGCACAGCGACUGCGCUGCUGCAGCAGUAGCACUGCACUCUCUCGCAGGGGAAGCCAAAAUGAGUUUGGUGCCUUAUGUGAAUAAUCACUUGCAUCUGGGUUAUAAAUGCUUCCAAACAUCACUCAUCUUGGUUGCACGACAUGAGAAAUGUGUGCAAAAGUCGUGGUCAAGGGAAAUGGUUAUCUGUAAUCCUAACAAGAUUUCUCCCCUAUCCAGCAAUCAGUAUGAGGCUGUGAGAGAUAAGCUGUGACUCUUUCUUUAAAUGUGUGUGUGUACAUACGCAUGCACGUACAUAGGAGGUAAGGAUAGUAUGCGUUGUGAUUACGUGCUGAUCAGUGAAAGCCACAUUUCUCUGACAAGCCAGGCACAGUGUUUUGCCACAAUCUGCUCAGUUGUAACAAAUCCCGGUUUUGGAGUUUAUAUUUUCUAUAGGACAAUACGUGACUUCUGGAACAACAAUCCCUGUGGAGCUGAUAGCUGUGGACUAAUGACUGGUAUACCAAGCAGAUAAGCUGUGGACAUUUUUCAGUGUUAACAUAAUGACUUUCAUCAAAGGAGGAAGAAGUCUACUUAUUUUUCAUUUUGUU